rnacentral:rRNA from 1 species
UACGUAGGGACCCAGCGUUGUUCGGAUUUACUGGGCGUAAAGGGCGCGUAGGCGGCGUGACAAGUCACUUGUGAAAUCUCUGGGCUUAACCCAGAACGGCCAAGUGAAACUGUUGUGCUAGAGUGCAGAAGGGGCAAUCGGAAUUCUCGGUGUAGCGGUGAAAUGCGUAGAUAUCGAGAGGAACACCAGAGGUGAAGACGGGUUGCUGGGCUGACACUGACGCUGAGGCGCGAAAGCCAGGGGAGCAAACGGG